rnacentral:rRNA from 2 species
AUAAGCAUUAUACGGCGAAACUGCGAAUGGCUCAUUAUAUAAGUUAUCGUUUAUUUGAUAGCACAUUACUACUUGGAUAACCGUGGUAAUUCUAGAGCUAAUACAUGCUAAAAAUCCCGACUUCGGAAGGGAUGUAUUUAUUAGAUUAAAAACCAAUGCCCUCUGGGCUCUCUGGUGAAUCAUGAUAACUGCUCGAAUCGCAGGGCCUCGUGCCGGCGAUGGUUCAUUCAAAUUUCUUCCCUAUCAACUUUCGAUGUUUGGGUAUUGGCCAAACAUGGUUACAACGGGUAACGGAGGGUUAGGGCUCGACCCCGGAGAAGGAGCCUGAGAGACGGCUACUACAUCCAAGGAAGGCAGCAGGCGCGCAAAUUACCCAAUCCCGACACGGGGAGGUAGUGACAAUAAAUACUGAUACAGGGCUCUUUCGGGUCUUGUAAUUGGAAUGAGUACAAUUUAAAUCCCUUAACGAGGAACAAUUGGAGGGCAAGUCUGGCC